GGUCCUUGACUUAAGUGAUGACAUUACCUUGUGAAAGUCCUUUUCCUGGCUCAUCCUGGCUCAUAAAGCACCCCUACUGAGCACCUUGCGACCCCCACUCCUGCCCGCCAGAGAACAAACCCUCUUUGACUGUAAUUUUCCUUUACCUACCCAAAUCCUAUAAAAUGGCCCCACUCUUAUCUUGCUUUGCUGACUCUUUUAGGACUCAGCCUGCCUGCACCCAGGUGAAAUAAACAGCCAUGUUGCUCACACAAAGCCUGUUUGGUGGUCUCUUCACACGGACGCACAUGAAAUUUGGUGCCAUGACUCAGAUCGGGGGACCUCCCUUGGGAGAUCAAUCCCCUGUACUCCUGUUCUUUGCUCCAAGAGAAAGAUCCACCUAUGACCUCAAGUCCUCAGACUGACCAGCCCAAGGAACAUCUCACCAAUUUUAAAUCAGGCAGGAAUGUCAAGCCUCUGAGCCCAAGCCAAGCCAUCGCAUCCCCUGUGACUUGCACGUGUACACCCAGAGGGCCUGAAGUAACUGAAGAAUCACAAAAGAAGUGAAAAGGUCCUGCCCCACCUUAACUGAUGACAUUGCACCACAAAAGAAGUGUUAAUGGCCGGUCCUUGCCUUAAGUGAUGACAUUACCUUGUGAAAGUCCUUUUCCUGGCUCAUCCUGGCUGAAAAAGCACCCCCGCUGAGCACCUUGUGACCCCCCCACUCCUGCCCGCCAGAGAACAAACACCCUUUGACUGUAAUUUUCCUUUACCUACCCAAAUCCUAUAAAAUGGCCCCACCCUUAUCUCCCUUCGCUGGCUCUCUUUUCAGACUCAGCUCGCCUGCACCCAGGUGAAAUAGCCAUGUUGCUCACACAAAGCCUGUUUGGUGGUCUCUUCACAUGGACGUGCAUGAAAAUAACCACGUUAAAAAGUGGGCAAAGGACAUGAAAAGACACUUCUCAAAAGAAGACAUACAUGCGGCCAAGAAACAUGAAAAAAUGCUCAUCACCACUACUCAUCAGAGAAAUGCAAAUCAAAACCACAAUGAGAUACCAUCUCACACCAGUAAGAAUGGCUUUUGCUAAAAAAGUCCAAAAAAAAUAGAUGUUGGUGAGGCUGUGGAGAAGAGGGGACAAUGGUGGGAAUGUAAAUUAGCUCAGCCACUCUGGAGAGCAGUUUGGAGAUUGCUCAAAGAACUUAAGACAGAACUACCAUUUGACCCAGCAAUGCUAUUAAAGGGCAUAUACCCAAAGGAAAAUCCUAUUAAUGGGUAUAUAGCCAAAAGGGCACACACACCCAUAUGUUAAUUAUAGCACUAUUCACAAUACUAAAAUUUGGUGUGUCCAGAGUUGGUUCCUUCUGGUGGGUUCGUGGUCUCACUGACUUCAAGAAUGGAGCUGUGGACCUUUGCAGUGAGUGUUACAGCUCUUAAAGUUGGCACGGACCCAAAGAGUGAGCAGCAGCAAGAUUUAUUGUGAAGAGCGAAAGAACAAAGCUUCCACAGCAUGGAAGGGGACCUGAGCAGGUUGCUGCUUCUGGCUGGGGUGGCCUGCUUUUAUUUCCUUAUUUGUCCCCUCUCAUGUCCUGUUUCUGUCCUACACCCUUUUUUCAAUCCUCCCCGUGAUUGGCUACUCUUAGACUCCUGCUGAUUGGUCCAUUUUACAGAGCACUGAUUGGUCCAUUUUACAAACUUCUUGCUAGCUACAGAGCACUGAUUGGUGUAUUUUUACAGAGUGCUGAUUGGUGCAUUUUACAAACCUCUUGCUAGCUACAGAGCACUGAUUUGUGCAUUUUACAAUCUCCUUGUAAGACAGAAAAGUUCUCCAAGUCCCCAAUGGAUCCAGGAAGUCCAGCUGGCUUUGCCUCUGAAUGGGAUCAACUCAGGUGCCCAUCAGUGGUGGACUGGAUGAAGACAAUGUGAUAGAUAUAUACCAUGAAAUGCUAUACAGCCAUAAAAAGUGAAACCAUGUAUUUACAGCAACAUGGAUGCAGUUGAAGGCCAUUAUUCUAAAUAAACUAAUGCAAUGCAGAAACAGAAAACAAAAUACCAGAUAUUAUCAUUUGUAAGUGGGAGCUGAACAUUGGAUACACAUGGACAUAAACAUAGGAAAAAUAGACACUGCAGUCUACUAGAGGGGAGAGACAGAGAACAGGGCAAGGGCUGAAAAACUACUUAUUGUGUUCUAUUCCCACUACCUGAGUGACAGGUUCAAUCAUACCCCAAACUCCACCAUAAUGCAGUAUAACUUUUUAACAAACCUGCCCAUGCACCCCAUGAUUCUAAAAUAAAACUUGUUGGAAUUUGAUCAGGCUGGUGGGAAAAAUAUUCGUUAUGAUAGCCACAAAACCCUUUUGGGGUUUUCAUAUGACUUCGGUAAUAGACCGGGCAGAAGGCAGCCUGGUCACAUUACCUUUAGUUACAUAGGUUAGAGUAGUAAACAACAGGAUGUGGGGAAGUUAUCUAGUUAGCUUGUUUACUCAUGUGGUCUUAAGCCUUAAGCCUUUGAUGUAUACUUUUUACUCAGAAAGUCCUCAAUGUCAAUUAACCUCUAAUGGCGUUAACUCAAGCUUUUGUUAGCUAAUCUUAAUGAAUAAAUGCAAGCCUCCUGAGCUGAUCGGGGCUGGCCGCAGUGACAAACCUCUCUUGGUGUAGGCGGUCAGACAUUCAGCAGGACUGGCAAAACAGAA